UCAUCAGCGGCAACGAGGCCAGCUGCCGGGCCAAUGAGAAGCUCAUCGUCGUCGUCCUCGCCGACCGCACGCCGCCGGGGUCCCGCACCCCGCCAGGGGCUCCGCCCACCAUGUCUCCGCCGUCUCCUUCUCCUAUGCCGAGCCCGUCCUCGCCGCCUCCUGCUGCCGCGCCUGCGCUGAGCCCGUCGUCACCGCCACCCUCAGGCGCUGCUCCUCUGCCGGCUCCCGCCGCCACCCCGACCUCGCCGCCGUCCCCGGCAGCAUCGGCUCCGGCGCCUGGUCCCACGGCCACCC
rnacentral:lncRNA from 1 species